rnacentral:rRNA from 1 species
AACGAACGCUGGCGGCAGGCUUAACACAUGCAAGUCGAACGGCAGCACAGAGGAGCUUGCUCCUUGGGUGGCGAGUGGCGGACGGGUGAGGAAUACAUCGGAAUCUACUCUGUCGUGGGGGAUAACGUAGGGAAACUUACGCUAAUACCGCAUACGACCUACGGGUGAAAGCAGGGGAUCUUCGGACCUUGCGCGAUUGAAUGAGCCGAUGUCGGAUUAGCUAGUUGGCGGGGUAAAGGCCCACCAAGGCGACGAUCCGUAGCUGGUCUGAGAGGAUGAUCAGCCACACUGGAACUGAGACACGGUCCAGACUCCUACGGGAGGCAGCAGUGGGGAAUAUUGGACAAUGGGCGCAAGCCUGAUCCAGCCAUACCGCGUGGGUGAAGAAGGCCUUCGGGUUGUAAAGCCCUUUUGUUGGGAAAGAAAUCCAGCUGGCUAAUACCCGGUUGGGAUGACGGUACCCAAAGAAUAAGCACCGGCUAACUUCGUGCCAGCCGCCGCCGUAA